rnacentral:rRNA from 1 species
UACGAAGGGGGCUAGCGUUGCUCGGAAUCACUGGGCGUAAAGGGUGCGUAGGCGGGUUUUUAAGUCAGAGGUGAAAUCCUGGAGCUCAACUCCAGAACUGCCUUUGAUACUGGGAAUCUUGAGUAUGGAAGAGGUGAGUGGAACUGCGAGUGUAGAGGUGAAAUUCGUAGAUAUUCGCAAGAACACCAGUGGCGAAGGCGGCUCACUGGUCCAUAACUGACGCUGAGGCACGAAAGCGUGGGGAGCAAACGGG